AGAAAACCUGUGAUUAAGAGGAGUAGUUUUACAGACUGCACUUUCAGAGAGUCGUGGAUGGUGGGAAAACGACAGUCAGCGUAAAAUGAAUGGACUUAUGAGGGCGGACGAAAGCAUAAGCGAGUAGUAACCGACGGGAACCGCGCCCGUUACCCUGGCGGACUGCAUGAAUGUGCAGGCAAAGUGGAUGAAAUCUCAUCAAUUUGGGUGGUACCGCAGGAUAACCAGUCUUGUCCCAUAG
rnacentral:ncRNA from 1 species